rnacentral:misc_RNA from 1 species
GAUGAAGAACGCAGCGAAAUGCGAUAAUUAAUGUGAAUUGCAGAAUUUAGUGAAUCAUCGAAUCUUUGAACGCACAUUGCGCCCCUUGGUAUUCCGGGGGGCAUGCCUGUUCGAGCGUCAUUUCAACCCUCAAGCUCUGCUUGGUCUUGGGCCGCGCCGGCAACGGCGGGCCUCAAAAACAGUGGCGGCGCCAUCUGGUCCCUCAGCGUAGUAAUUCUUCUCGCUGCUGGGCCCCGGUGGCCGCUUGCCAGCAACCCCAAACUUUCUAUGGUUGACCUCGGAUCGGGUAGGGAUACCCGCUGAACUUAAGCAUAUCAAUAAGCGGAGGA